rnacentral:misc_RNA from 1 species
GACUUUAGCUGGGACUAAUUCAAGUUACAAGCCAGUGGAUGAAAAUUCUAUAACUGUCUCCAAGAUCCUCAAGCCAAUAGGCUUCUCAGAUUCUGUGACAGACAAUGUCCAAGAUGUGCUGGUAACCUUUGUGGCAUUGAGGUCUGAUGGGAAAGAAGUUGUGGUAGAUAACAGGUUUCUCAAGGCUAAUAAUCCACUUCUGUUGAUUGACUUUUAUGAGCAGCAUCUCAAGUACAGUACAUGAUUCGACGGAGAAUUAGAGGGAAAUUUAGUGUAUGCGA